rnacentral:rRNA from 1 species
GUGCUUAACACAUGCAAGUCGAGUGCGCGCCUGUAGCAAUACAGGUGGCGCACGGCGCACGGGUGCGUAACACGUGGGUAAUCUGCCCUUCGAUGGGGAAUAACCUCGCGAAAGCGAGGCUAAUUCCGCAUAACAUUCCGAGAACUUCGGUUUUUGGAUUCAAAGGCGUAAGUCGUCGGAGGAGGAGCCCGCGCACGAUUAGCUAGUUGGUAGGGUAAUGGCCUACCAAGGCUGUGAUCGUUAGCUGGUCUGAGAGGAUGGCCAGCCACACUGGAACUGAGACACGGUCCAG